AGUCCGAUACCACAUCGUUUAUAAACAGCUAACUUAAGGAAAGUAGUUUUUAUUUAAAUACGAAACGCAAACUUCACUAUACUUGAACGUUAUCUUUAAAAAAAUAAAACCGUAUAGUGUGUGUGUACAUUGGCGAUUAAAGUGUUAUAUCAGCCGAUUACAUUUUAUUAAGAAAAUGAAUUUGAGGAUUUGCUACGUGUUUAUAUUAUUGAUUGUGGCCAUGUGCGAACUAAGAGUCUCACGGGCUGUGUCUCAGAGUAAAUUGCAUUGCCGCCGCGAUUGCAGUGAACAUUGUCUCUUGUACUCCAAAAUGUCUGGUGCCUGUUUGCACAGGUCCUGCCAAUGCGGAGGACAAAACUUGUAUCCGUAAACAGUAAACUAAGGAGUGGCCGAAGCAAAGCCGCGUCUACCUUGCCGCUUGGAUUGCAACCUGCUGUGUCAGCAGCGUGGAAAGAACUCCGGGAUUUGUUUGCGCGGUCACUGUCAUUGUAGGAAUGGAAUCUCUACCUGAUACCCAAUAAAAUAUAAAAAUAAAUUACAUAUGUUGCGACAAAAAUCAAAGUAUGAAAGUAUUUAUUAAUUGCUUAAAUAUUAUGCAAUUUAAUGUAAGGAUAUUUUAGUAAUAAAUAUAUAUAUAAAAUUAUUUCCAAACCACUUAGGGUAACAUACGACUUAGAGCCCUUAAAUAAGCAUAAAGCAUACCAUUUCCUUAAAAGCCGGCAGCGCAUCCGCAGUUCUUCUGGUGUUGAAGAUGUCCAUGGAUGUCGUUAUUCACCUCGAUGUUCCAUCCGCUCGUUUGUCCCCUUCUCUUAUAAAAAAAAAAUGAAAAUCGUUGUGGGUUUCUAAGAGUAGUUUCUCUUGAAUAUAACGCUUUAGAACGGUAAAUAAUAUUGAUUUUAUUUCUAAGUUUUAAUUACUCUUAAAUAAAUAGUUUUGUUU